UCAAAAUUCCGCGAAAAAGCCGCGUGGUGGCUCCUCCGGCGGAGGCGCGAUUCCGUUGCCCAGCGGGCCCCUCCCGGGCGCCGGGGGGAGGGCGAAGGAGCGAGCCGGCCGGUUCCCUUUCCUCCCGGAGGCCGGGCCCCACCGACGCCGGGGGGCAGAUGCCCCCCGCCCCAGAUCUUACUGGAAAAGUCACUUUUAUAAACCGAAGACACUUCCAGGGCUAUUUUCGGCCGCGUGAGGCAGCUGAAUCAGACAGGAAGAGGGGGAAAUUUCGGAGCGCCCCUAGGAGGACGAAGCUUGCAGCCGACAGCGGGAUCACCUGGCUGGGCGGCAUCCGCCAGUGACCAGUUUUGACUUAAAAGCCGGAGCACAGACGUUUGGUUUUUUUCUCUAAACCUAAGGCUACACGCAAAAGAAAAUGCGCAGGUUUGUCCAGAAGGCAACGUGCCUUUUCCCGCGUGCGAGGAGGAGUGCUUUUUAGCAAGCAAAAUUAAAGUUUUAACACAUGGUCGGAGUGGCGACCAAAAGGGAAAACUCAGUUUCCAGUCCAAGCCUCACGGAGACAUUCCUGCCAACCUCCGCACCCUCGCACGCCCCACCCCGAGCCUUGGAGCCUGAACCACUGGGGGACGGAUUCGCUGCGAGGUUGCUGUUCGGGAACAGUCCGUAAUCGGAAGGGGAAGUCAAUGGGGAACUUGAAGGGGCGAGCCUGCCACGCGGGGAGCGCCCGCACCCGCGGGUCUGGGUGGAUGGAGAGGGCGGCGGGGAGAGGGGCAUCCGCCCGCGCCCCUCCUCUUCACAGCCGUCUGUCCCCCGCCCCCCGGCCCCGCUCCCCGCCGGAAUUUCUCCGUAAAGCCAGACGGG